rnacentral:pre_miRNA from 12 species
CCGGCACUCACCCGGUGGCGAAAUCUUGCUGGGGCCUCCAAAUGUUGUAACCGAGUGAGUUACAGAGAAACGUCACACUCUGAGACGAAUUCAGGAGUCCUUUAUUAG